ACUUAAAAAAUUAAGAAGAAAGUUAUUAGUUUUUAGUAUGGCGGUCCGAGCAACUUCAAUAAAUUUACUGUCGAAAUAUGAAAACCAAUGCAAACUCUUAACUCCUUUGAUAUUUGGAAUAUUUUGCCAUAACUCUGACAGUUGAUUACAAAAACUAUCAAUUUGUGUUCCAGAGAUAUACAAAAUGUUAACUCCAUGAAUGUUGUUCUUAGCACAUUCAUAGAAGCAUGAAGCAUCACCGAGAACAAUAUUUUUUGCUUUAACGAUUUGCCAGACUUUUCGUUUAACUACGGCACCUAUUCCGUCUACAGCACCUUUGCCAUGUGAAGUGGCAAAAAAAUUCCACUCUAAGAUUCCGCAAUUAAAUUCAGCUGCAAGUCUUGGAAUACUA